rnacentral:rRNA from 1 species
AAAUUGAAGAGUUUGAUCAUGGCUCAGAUUGAACGCUGGCGGCAGGCCUAACACAUGCAAGUCGAACGGUAACAGGAAACAGCUUGCUGUUUCGCUGAC